rnacentral:lncRNA from 1 species
AGAGGACAGGAUGACGUCAACAAAAUCUACUGGGAAGAUCUCUGACUCAGUCAUGGCCAGUUUGUGGUUGGAUUCUCGGUUGGGCCUCAGCAUGUUUGUAGUAAGUAAUUUUAAGAGGUCAAGCCUUUUUUUUCAAUUGAAAGAUGGCACCGCGGCGGGAGAGAGUGGGUGUGGAUGUACUCCGGGGGGCGCUGCAUUGAAGGCCGCAUGUGAAACGAUCAAGAGGGCGGAGGAGGAAAGAGAUU